rnacentral:lncRNA from 1 species
CUUUGGUGGUACCCGCCUCGGGAACAAUUUCGCUCUGAGAGCAAGUGGGUAUUGGAGGUUAAUCCCUCUGUGGAAAUACUGGAUUGAAAGCCCUGAGGUCAGGGGUCUGAGUACCGCUUCUGUUUACAUAUCAACUUCCUGGUCCUGGGAGACCAUGCAGGGCCAGGGGAGGGGAACGGGCAAGAAAGGAAAGAAAACGAGAAUUUUUAAAUUAAAUGCCCUCCCCUCUAAAAAGAAAGUCAACAACAUGAGGUAGAGCUUGUGGAAUCAAGGUGUGAUUUUCAUGUCUAUGAACAUAAAUUUCUUUUAAUUUUUUUUUCAGUCAUGGUUACAUCCUGGAGUUAAAGCAUCUUUUGAAACACAAUUUGAAAUGAAAUACUGAUACGUGUGUAAGUGUGUGGAGGGUAGGUAGGUAGGUAUGAUUUUUAAACAAGACACAGGAAGAAAGAAACGCUACUUGUCUCUUGAGUAUCAGAGGGAGCUCAAUCAAAUUAAGCCAAUGUGCUUCAACCCCCUUGGCUGUACUGUAACAGUGGGUUCUGAUUUGGUUUAAGUUUGGUUUACAAUCAUGAAGAUUCUACGUCAGGCCAGUGAGCUGAAAACUGUUGUAUUAAAGGCCCAUUUGAAACUACCAGCCACAUGUGUACAUCAGAAGCUUAGAUGAUAGUGUUAAAGCUAAGCAACCCCACUCUCUCAAAAGAGUGAAAAGGAAGCCAGACACGGUGACACACACCUGUGAUCCCAGCAACUUGGGAAGCUGAGGCAGUAGGAUCACAAGUUCAAAGCCAGCCUCAGCAUUUUAGGCCCUAAGCAACUCAGUGACAUCCUGUCUCUAAAUAAAAUGUAAAAAGAGCAAAAGAGCUGGGGAUAUGGCUCAGUGGUUAAGCAUACCUGGGUUCAAUCCCUGGAGAGAGAGAGAGAGAGAGAGAGAGAGAGAGAGAGAGAGAGAGAGAAGGAAGAAAAGUGAAGAGAGGAAAAAGAGAAUGUUUCUUUCAUCUCCUCAAAAAAAGGCAAAGCAAAACUACAAAGUUGGGGAGACAGCUUCAGAAAGACCUAGAAGAUAUGCAAAAUGAUUAAUCAAGAAAGUUUUUCAAGACCUAGAAUUUUUUUAAAAGAUUAAAUGUAAAAGGCAAAAUAGUUCAUUUAUUUGUUUGUUUGUUUGUUUGAAGAAAGGCAGGGACUUAAAAGUCUGUCCAAGAUGUAUGUAAGGACAUUAACAAAGUAUUCAUGAAGAAACAGUGGAAAACCUAUUACUUGGGACAUUUACAACCAGAUAAAAAAAAUUAGGUAUGUAGGACUUAUAUCCAAAAGGGUCCAUAACAAAACAGACCCCAAAUACCUGAGCACUAGUUUCCUCUUGUGUUUCUAACUCCUGUUUUGUUUUGUUUGUUUGUUUUUUGGGGGGGUAGAUUUUUUUUAUUAAGGUUUUUGCAAAUAUUAAAGAAAAUUCUCACUGUUCGCUCUUGUCAAAUGAAAAAAGAAAGCAUUUCUGCAAUAAAUCUUUGCACUUUGAGUCUCCAACUAAAGAAUUCUUUAAUUCUAAGGAUUACAUUUUGGGGCAGGGGUGGGAUGGGGGCAGUACCAGAGAUUGAACUCAGGGGCACUCAACCACUGAGCCACAUCCCCAGCCCUAUUUUGUAUUUUACCUAGAGACAGGGUCUCACUGAGUUGCUUAGCUCCUCACCAUUGCUGAGGCUGGCUUUGAACUUGCUUUUCUCCUGUCUCAGCCUCCUGAGUCGCUGGGAUUACAGGCAUGCACCACCUGCCCAGCUCUAAAGACUACAUUUUGAAAAAUGAAUUUGUUAACAGAAAC